GACGGGACCCGCACAAGCAGCGGAGCGUGUGGUUUAAUUCGUUGCUACACGAAGAACCUUACCUGGGUUUGACAUAUAGGUUGUAGGGAACUGAAAGGGACGACCCUUCGGGAGCCUAUACAGGUGUUGCAUGGCUGUCGUCAGCUCGUGUCGUGAGAUGUUCGGUUAAGUCCGCUAACGAGCGCAACCCUCGUCGUAUGUUAUAUGUGUCAUACGAGACUGCCGGUAAAAGCCGGAGGAAGGUGAGGAUGAUGUCAAGUCAGCAUGACCUUUAUAUCCAGGGCUACACACACGCUACAAUGGUCUGUACAAUGGGUAGCCAAGCCGCGAGGCGGAGCCAAUCCUGAAAGCAGGCCUCAGUUCAGAUUGCAGUCUGCAACUCGACUGCAUGAAGCCGGAGUUGCUAGUAACCGCAGGUCAGCAAUACUGCGGUGAAUACGUUCCCGGGUCUU
rnacentral:rRNA from 1 species